rfam:Gonium pectorale scaffold00184, whole genome shotgun sequence.
CCUGCGCCUCCAGCCACUCCACCUUGGCGGCCCAGUCGGGCGUGGGGCUGCCGGCCGCAGAGGAGAGCACGUU